rnacentral:rRNA from 1 species
GCCUAUGGCCAUACCACCCUGAACAUGCCAGAUCUCAUCUGAUCUCGGAAGCUAAACCGGGUCGGGCCUGGUUAGUUCUUGCAUGGAGGAAUAUGGGUUUUAAGACC